GACGAACGCUGGCGGCGUGCCUAAUACAUGCAAGUCGAACGCACUCUCGUUUAGAUUGAAGGAGCUUGCUCCUGAUUGAUAAACAUUUGAGUGAGUGGCGGACGGGUGAGUAACACGUGGGUAACCUGCCCUAAAGUGGGGGAUAACAUUUGGAAACAGAUGCUAAUACCGCAUAAAACCUAACACCGCAUGGUGUAAGGGUUGAAAGAUGGUUUCGGCUAUCACUUUAGGAUGGACCCGCGGUGCAUUAGUUAGUUGGUGAGGUAAAGGCUCACCAAGACCGUGAUGCAUAGCCGACCUGAGAGGGUAAUUCGGCCACACUGGGACUGAGACACGGCCCAGACUCCUACGGGAGGCAGCAGUAGGGAAUCUUCCACAAUGGACGAAAGUCUGAUGGAGCAACGCCGCGUGAGUGAAGAA
rnacentral:rRNA from 1 species